UCUGAUAAGUCUCUGUCUCCCUAUCUAUUUCUCUCACAUAUCAUUCCUCUCUCUUUGAUUCAGUCUAGCUAUCGGGGUUGUCGGAAGACAUGCCACAGCCAGUGGAGCUGGAUUCAUCGGCUCUCACUUAGUUUUUGUGUUUAUUCAUGAUUUAAAGAUUUGACGCAAAAGGGAUAGGUGCUCUAAGAAUUUGGACCCUAGAUUUGAUUUUUUUUUUUUAUUAAUUUCAGUUUGGUUUAGGUUAAUGUGGCAGAGCUUGUGCUUGUUUAUUUCCUCUUUCACUCAUUUGUUUCAUUGGUCUGAUUUGCUUGUUUCCUUGUUGGGAUUAUAGUGUUUAUUGUAGUGAUUAUAGUGUUUGUUCAUUAUCCAAUGGUAAUGCUCUGAGUGUGUAUUAAUUUACAAGAAAAGAUAAAUAGUUUUCAUUCUUUGGUUGUUUUCGUGUUGUAUGUGGUCAAUUUUGUUGGAAUUGAAUCGAGCAAGUAUCAAUUUUUUCCUUUUAUGAUAAAGUACAAAAUUUUCGGGCUCUAGCUGAGAAUAAUGAUGUAAAUGUUUUUUCCCAAAACUGUUGAGAUAUUUUCCUCGAAUAUCAUGAUGGUCAAUUACAUGCUUGGAUAUGAGACCUAGAUGGAACUUAUUGGUGAAAUGAUAUUGGUUCAUACAACCCCAAGCUGUUGGAUGAUUGUAUUUACCGAUGUUUUAUAUUCCCAAGCUUAUGGUAUUUCUUUAUGCAAUAGACUUCUUUUCUAAGUUGGGUACUUGAUAUUUCUUUUUGUAAGCUAUGCAGUUCAUAUAUUCCUUCAUGUGAUUGAUUGUUUUGUUAUCAUUAUAUGCAUACCGUUGUUAUCCCCCUCUCAUGAAUUCAAUGGAAGUACAGAUGUUGGGGUGUAGGACAAGGGGUUUUUCAUUUACUCAUGCUCUAUUAGGAAUCUCUGCUGAUGAGAUUCACCUUUGUGGAGAUGCAACUGCUAUUCCUCUUAUCUAGGAAAUACUAACAGUGACUGGUGAUGAGGUUGAGGUAAUGUGGAUCUCUCUGAUCUUCUUUCAAGCAUGGAUGAUCAAAUUGCAAAAGCAAAAGAGCAGGCACUAAGCAGGAAGGAUAUUUUGGACAAGGUUGAGAAGUGGAGAUAUGCAACUGAGGAGAAAUGGCUUGAAGAAUAUGAAAGGGGUAAAGAAUGACCGGUCCAGUCCAGUCCCUUUCUCACGAAACAGAAGAUGAAUGCAAGGAAAAUAAGCAUGAAGACACUGCACAAGUACACCACAGCAUGCAGAGAACACCAUGCAACAAGCAAGUUGAUGAAAAGCACAAUGCAGCAGAUGAAAAGUGUAAAGCACUGGCACAGAAAAGCAAAAUAACAAAAGGAAAGCAUGGCACGACAGGUCAACCUUAAAGACUGCACUGAUUACACACAAAAGCAAAUAAAGUGAUGAAAAGCAAUGUCAAGGAAACAGAUUGCAGUAGAUUGCUUGUAAAACAGUAGAAAAUGUAAAGUUAACUUUAGGAAUUUUUGCUUCUAAUCUUUUUGUUUUUCUCCUUCUGUGAUGUGUAUAUAUAUGUAGCAGAACCUUGUAUCAUUUUAA